CGCCCUGGGUUAGUCGGGACCUAAGCUGAGGCCGAAAGGCGUAGGUGAUGGACAACAGGUUGAUAUUCCUGUACUACCGAUAACCGUUUGAGAGAUGGGAUGACACAGUAGGAUAAGCUAAGCACACGGUUGGUUAUGUGUGCCCAAGCAUUGAGGCAGUCAAAGUAGGCAAAUCCGCUUUGAUAAUGCUGGGAUGUGAUGGGGAGCGAAAUUUAGUAGCGAA
rnacentral:rRNA from 1 species